rnacentral:rRNA from 1 species
UACAGAGGUCUCAAGCGUUGUUCGGAUUCAUUGGGCGUAAAGGGUGCGUAGGCGGCGCGGUAAGUCGGGUGUGAAAUCUCGGAGCUUAACUCCGAAACUGCAUUCGAUACUGCCGUGCUUGAGGACUGGAGAGGAGACUGGAAUUCAUGGUGUGGCAGUGAAAUGCGUAGAGAUCAUGAGGAAGACCAGUGGCGAAGGCGGGUCUCUGGACAGUUCCUGACACUGAGGCACGAAGGCCAGGGGAGCAAACGGG